rnacentral:misc_RNA from 1 species
GUAGGUGAACCUGCGGAAGGAUCAUUACAGUAGUCACCCGGGGCGCCGCAAGGCCUCCCGGGUAACCUACCACCCUUUGUUUAUCACACUUUGUUGUUUUGGCAGGCCUGUCCUCGGGCUGUUGGCUCCGGCCGGCGAGCGCUUGCCAGAGGACCUAAACUCUGUUUGUCUAUACUGUCUGAGUACUAUAUAAUAGUUAAAACUUUCAACAACGGAUCUCUUGGUUCUG